UAUUUUUUUUUUUAUCAGAGGAGACUGUCGUGUUGUGUGUGCCACUGCCGUUCGCCCUACGAACCAGUUCCCCGAAAACCAGCUGGAUUUUAAUUGCUGGUGAUGUUGCGAAGAGAACAUCUGCAGACCCCACAGUCGUGAAGCAGAAGGCCUGACCCGGAGGAGGACUGGAACACAUCGAAGCCACUGAGCGAGGCGUUACAUAAUACUGACAGAACAGGAAGUGCUG